GCGGCAUUGGCUGGAGGGGGCUAAUCAUCCGUUCAUCGUUCUGACAGAUCAUAAGAACUUGGAGUACCUCAGAUCAGCUAGGAGGCUGAAUCCUCGUCAGGCCAGGUUGAGAGGGAGGUCAGGGAGGCCCACCAGGCUUUUCCACCACCAAGGGAUUGCCCGAAUGACCGCCUGUUUGUACCAGAUCAUCUGGUUAAUAAGGUAUUAACCUUCUGUCAUUCGUCACCUCUGUUUUGCCACCCGGGCAUAGGAAAGACCUUGGACUUAGUCAAAGCCCAGUUCUGGUGGGGUUCCUUGAACAAGGAC